CAGCCGCCGCGGUAAUACGUAGGUGGCAAGCGUUGUCCGGAAUUAUUGGGCGUAAAGGGCUCGCAGGCGGUUUCUUAAGUCUGAUGUGAAAGCCCCCGGCUCAACCGGGGAAGGUCAUUGGAAGCUGGGAAACUUGAGUGCAGAAGAGGAGAGUGGAAUUCCACGUGUAGCGGUGAAAUGCGUAGAGAUGUGGAGGAACACCAGUGGCGAAGGCGACUCUCUGGUCUGUAACUGACGCUGAGGAGCGAAAACGUGGGGAGCGAACAGGAUUAGAUACCCCAGUAGUCCCUGUCUCUUAUAC
rnacentral:rRNA from 1 species